AUUGAACGCUGGCGGAAUGCUUUACACAUGCAAGUCGAACGGCAGCACGGGGCAACCUGGUGGCGAGUGGCGAACGGGUGAGUAAUACAUCGGAACGUGCCCAGUCGUGGGGGAUAACGUAGCGAAAGCUACGCUAAUACCGCAUACGAUCUACGGAUGAAAGCGGGGGACUCGCAAGAGCCUCGCGCGAUUGGAGCGGCCGAUGGCAGAUUAGGUAGUUGGUGGGGUAAAGGCUCACCAAGCCUGCGAUCUGUAGCUGGUCUGAGAGGACGACCAGCCACACUGGAACUGAGACACGGUCCAGACUCCUACGGGAGGCAGCAGUGGGGAAUUUUGGACAAUGGGCGCAAGCCUGAUCCAGCCAUUCCGCGUGCAGGAUGAAGGCCUUCGGUUG
rnacentral:rRNA from 1 species